GCACUGCAACACCGAUUCCGGGAUAUAUGCAAUGAUGUUCAUUGAACACUGGACCUCACGAAUAUUUGCUCUGCGUUGUACAUUCAGUCAGAAGGACAUUCCAAAUAUAAGGAUCAAGAUUGCCAAUGAUUUGGUUUUCCAACCAAAAAAUUCUGGAAUGAAGCAUCGUGUCUCUGAUUUCAGAAAGGAUCAUUAAAAUGACAGCAUUGUUCCUAGAUAAAUAAUACCAUGUAUAAGCUAGUAGAAGCAUGGUAGAUUUUUAAGUACUGUUUUUUCAGUCGUCACAAGUCUGUAGUGCUCAGGUUUACAACUUUUUGUAACAGAAUAGAUGAAUGUCAAUGCAACAGAUCACCCCCCCCCCCAUCUA